rnacentral:rRNA from 1 species
GUAGGACUACCCGCUGAACUUAAGCAUAUCAAUAAGCGGAGGAAAAGAAACUAACAAGGAUUCCCCUAGUAACUGCGAGUGAAGCGGGAAGAGCUCAAAUUUGAAAUCUCCUUCGGGCGAGUUGUAAACUGGAGAAGCGUUAUCAGACGUUGACCGCACUAAAGUCUCCUGGAAUGGAGUGUCAUAGAGGGUGGGAAUCCCGUGCUUGGUGCGAUUGCGGCGUUGUGGAGGCGUUUUCUAUGAGUCGAGUUGUUUGGGAAUGCAGCUCAAAAUGGGUGGUAAACUCCAUCUAAAGCUAAAUACUGGCGAGAGACCGAUAGCGAACAAGUACCGUGAGGGAAAGAUGAAAAGGACUUUGGAAAGAGAGUUAAAGAGUACGUGAAAUUGCUGAAAGGGAAGCGCUUGGAGUGAGUCGCGCGGGCGGGAGUCAGCUCUGCGUACUUCCUGCCCGUGGGCCAGCAUCGACCUUGGACGGCGGAUAAGGGCGGUGGGAAUGUGGCAUCUCCGGAUGUGUUAUAGCCCGCUGUCGUACACGCCGACCGGGGUCGAGGACUGCUUAAAGGAUGCUGGCGUAAUGGCUCUAAGCGACCCGUCUUGAAACACGGACC